AGCGAACGUUUGCGGCGGGCCUAACACAUGCAAGUCGAACGCACUAGCAAUAGUGAGUGGCGCACGGGUGCGUAACACGUGGGUAAUCAACCCUUCAGCUUGGGAUAACGACUUGAAAGGGUCGCUAAUACCGGAUACGGCGCGGGAGGCUUCGGCUUCUCACGAGAAAGCCUCGCAAGGGGCACUGAAGGACGAGCCUGCGGCCCAUCAGCUAGUUGGUGAGGUAAGAGCUCACCAAGGCGAAGACGGGUAGCUGGUCUGAGAGGAUGAUCAGCCACACUGGAACUGAGACACGGUCCAGACUCCUACGGGAGGCAGCAGUGGGGAAUAUUGCGCAAUGGGCGAAAGCCUGACGCAGCCACGCCGCGUGAGCGAUGAAGGCCUCGGUCGUAAGACUCUGUGGGAGGAGACGAAGAAAGACCGUCG
rnacentral:rRNA from 1 species